UCCCUCCUCACUCUGAUCCAAGGACAAAGGCCCUCUGCUUUCAGAACCCCCAAAGGGAGUGCGGAGAGGAAUUGUGUUAUUCCAUGAAUACUGAGCAGGCCCAGGGCAAGCCCCAGUGGUUCUCAGCUGAGGCCAUGUGAGAUCUGGCCCUUCAAGCUUCCACUCAGUGGUCUCAGUGGAAGGACGAGUUCCUGUCAGGCUGCCAAUUAGGAGCAAUUGUUGAGGGCUGGAAUGCUAUAGAUCUGCAGAGUCAUGGGAGAGACCUUCAGGUGACAUCACAGAGCCAUGGAGAGACCUUCAGGUGACAUCACAGAGCCAUGGAGAGACCUUCAGGUGACAUCACAGAGUCAUGGAGACACCUUCAGGUGACAUCACAGAGCCAUGGAGAGACCUUCAGGUGACAUCACAGAGCCAUGGAGAGACCUUCAGGUGACAUCAGAGAGCCAUGGAGACACCUUCAGGUGACAUCACAGAGACAUGGAGACACCUUCAGGUGACAUCACAGAGCCAUGGAGAGACCUUCAGGUGACAUCAGAGAGCCAUGGAGACACCUUCAGGUGACAUCACAGAGUCAUGGAGACACCUUCAGGUGACAUCAGAGAGACAUGAAGAGACCUUCAGGUGACAUCACAGAGUCAUGGGAGAGACCUUCAGGUGACAUCACAGAGUCAUGGAGACACCUUUAGGUGACAUCACAGAGCCAUGGAGAGACCUUCAGGUGACAUCAGAGAGCCAUGGAGACACCUUCAGGUGACAUCAGAGAGCCAUGGAGACACCUUCAGGUGACAUCACAGAGUCAUGGAGACACCUCCAGGUGACAUCACAGAGCCAUGGAGAGACCUUCAGGUGACAUCACAGAGCCAUGGAGAGACCUUCAGGUGACAUCACAGAGCCAUGGAGAGACCUUCAGGUGACAUCAGAGAGUCAUGGAGACACCUUCAGGUGACAUCACAGAGCCAUGGAGACACCUUCAGGUGACAUCAGAGAGACAUGAAGAGACCUUCAGGUGACAUCACAGAGUCAUGGAGACACCUCCAGGUGACAUCACAGAGCCAUGGAGACACCUUCAGGUGACAUCACAGAGCCAUGGAGAGACCUUCAGGUGACAUCACAGAGUCAUGGAGACACCUUCAGGUGACAUCAGAGAGACAUGAAGAGACCUUCAGGUGACAUCACAGAGCCAUGGAGACACCUUCAGGUGACAUCACAGAGCCAUGGAGAGACCUUCAGGUGACAUCAGAGAGUCAUGGAGACACCUUCAGGUGACAUCACAGAGCCAUGGAGACACCUUCAGGUGACAUCAGAGAGACAUGAAGAGACCUUCAGGUGACAUCACAGAGUCAUGGAGACACCUCCAGGUGACAUCACAGAGCCAUGGAGAGACCUUCAGGUGACAUCACAGAGCCAUGGAGAGACCUUCAGGUGACAUCACAGAGCCAUGGAGAGACCUUCAGGUGACAUCACAGAGCCAUGGAGAGACUUUCAGGUGACAUCAGAGAGCCAUGGAGACACCUUCAGGUGACAUCACAGAGACAUGGAGACACCUUCAGGUGACAUCACAGAGCCAUGGAGAGACCUUCAGGUGACAUCAGAGAGCCAUGGAGACACCUUCAGGUGACAUCACAGAGUCAUGGAGACACCUUCAGGUGACAUCAGAGAGACAUGAAGAGACCUUCAGGUGACAUCACAGAGUCAUGGGAGAGACCUUCAGGUGACAUCACAGAGUCAUGGAGACACCUUUAGGUGACAUCACAGAGCCAUGGAGAGACCUUCAGGUGACAUCAGAGAGCCAUGGAGACACCUUCAGGUGACAUCAGAGAGCCAUGGAGACACCUUCAGGUGACAUCACAGAGCCAUGGAGAGACCUUCAGGUGACAUCACAGAGUCAUGGAGACACCUUCAGGUGACAUCAGAGAGACAUGAAGAGACCUUCAGGUGACAUCACAGAGCCAUGGAGACACCUUCAGGUGACAUCACAGAGCCAUGGAGAGACCUUCAGGUGACAUCACAGAGUCAUGGAGACACCUUCAGGUGACAUCAGAGAGACAUGAAGAGACCUUCAGGUGACAUCACAGAGUCAUGGGAGAGACCUUCAGGUGACAUCACAGAGUCAUGGAGACACCUUUAGGUGACAUCACAGAGCCAUGGAGAGACCUUCAGGUGACAUCAGAGAGCCAUGGAGACACCUUCAGGUGACAUCAGAGAGCCAUGGAGACACCUUCAGGUGACAUCACAGAGCCAUGGAGAGACCUUCAGGUGACAUCACAGAGUCAUGGAGACACCUUCAGGUGACAUCAGAGAGACAUGAAGAGACCUUCAGGUGACAUCACAGAGCCAUGGAGACACCUUCAGGUGACAUCACAGAGCCAUGGAGAGACCUUCAGGUGACAUCACAGAGUCAUGGAGACACCUUCAGGUGACAUCAGAGAGACAUGAAGAGACCUUCAGGUGGCUCCAGCUCACUUUUUCCCCGAUGCUUCCCUCUUCUACCCUUCUUAGCCAUCUGGUCAUCAGGAGCUUUGCCUCCUUGGAGCCACUCCAUACUUUAGCCACCAACUUUAUCUUAAAUUUGACAUCACAGGUGUUGAAAAUCAUCAGGAUCAACCCCCCCCUCAUUUAAAUACCUCUAAGGUAACCAAGACUGAUCUUUGGCCCAGCGUGCGGUCUGUCUUGCUGAGCAUGCGCCUCUGUACUGCUGGGGUGUCCUGUGGCUACUGGCUAGGUCAACUUGGCUGGUGGUGCAGGAGAAACUCUGUGAGUGUGUGUGUGUGUGUGUGUUGCUCACUUUGAACUUUGGAGAAACGUGUGUGUCCUGCCGGAUGACCUCACUGAUGUCUGCUGGUCCUCUCCGUGCAGGUACGCAAGCCUCACUUCUCAGCCAGGCUCAUCUUGUCUCUGCUCUCUACCUAGAGGAUCUGCUCAGUUUAUCGUUCGGCAUGAGUAAGAGACCUCAUGCGGCCAGUGCCACCACCAAGGGUUUUAUUUUUUUUCUGUGUGUCUCAGCUAGAGGUUCUAUUGCCACGACGAAACACCCUGACAAGGAAGCAAGUUAGGGAGGAAAGGGUUUAUUCAUCUUAUACUUGAGCAUUGCUGUUCAUCACUGAAGGAAGUCAGGACAGGAACUCAGGCGAGGCAGGAGCCUGGAGGCAGGAGCUGAUGCAGAGGCCAUGGAGGGAGGCUGCUUCCUGGCUUGCUCCCAUGGUUUGUUCCAGACUGCCUUCUCACAGGACGCAGGGCUACCAACCCAGGGAUGGUGCCACACACCACGGGCUGGACCCUCCCCAGUUGAUCGAUAAUCGAGAAAAUGCCUUACAGCUGGAUCUCAUGGAGGGAGGCAUUUCCUCAGCUGAGGCUCCUUCCUCUCUGAUGACGCUAGCUUGUGUCACGCUGACACACAAAGCCAGCCAGUACACUACCAGAGGAAGUGACGAAUGACUUUUAAAUUAAUCUGACUUGUCAUAUGGCAGAGUUAAAAAUUACUUGUCUAAAAAAAGGCCGGUGAACAAGGGCUUAAUUUUAGCUAAUGAUUCUAAAACAAGUGCUUACAAAAUGCAAGUUUUAAGUCCCGAACCGGAAGACGCUCUCUCAGACAAGCAGGGAAGUGGCCUGUCUAAGUAGAGUUCCAAAUGCAUUGUUUCCUCCUCCCAAGACCCAAUACUGCCUGGUUCCCACCUUCCGGGCUCUCCUGAGGUCCAGGCUUUCCUCCGAAGCGGAAGCAAAGGGCCAGCCUGUCCUCCGAGGCCCCCACCUCCUUCCGUAUCCCAUUGCCUGUGAUGGCCGCCUCCUGGGAGCAGCUCUCCAGCAAAUCUUUUGAGACUAGCUGUCAGCCAUCACUUCCCUAAGCCACCAGCAUUGACAGCAUGAGGAGCGGCUGGUUCUGCACCCAGGCUCCAGCACAGCUGAGCCUGGAGACAGACGCAGAAGGUCUUCAUCUCAGCGUGUGUCCCUUCACUCCAGGGAAUGUGCCCCUGCGUGGACUUGAAAGGUGCACAUCCCUGACCCAUCCGUGGCCCUGCUGUGACAGGAUUGCGUGUUCCCAAGAUCAUCCCAGGAAGAGAGCAGAGGCCAGAACGCAGGGGAGGGAUUGCACACGUGUCCAGAGAAACCUCUGUAGCAUUCUUUUUUUUUUUAUCAACACAUUCAACUAAAAACAAAUGACACAAACCAUCUGGUUUGUUUAAUAAAAACGGAGCAACGUAAACAGCUAAGGCCAACCUCUCAACAGACAGCAAGUGGCCAUGCCUUAGUAAUAUCGCUGCUGUGCCCCAAUAUUGGAAAAACCUCUAAAAAGGCCACAGAGGCAUCAUUUACAUUGUCACUGGGCCAGAAGACACCAUGUAUGGGGCCAAGUAAGUCGUCGUCGUGAGAUAGACGAAAAGAAACCCAGAAUAAAAUGGCAAAUGAAGAAAGAAGCCGCCUCCGUGUGCUGGGUGAAGAAGAAGACCCAGGAUAAGAAAGAGCAGGCUCCACUCCGAAGGGUGAAGGGGCAUGAGGAACUCCCAGGAAGGUGUGGAUCACACAUCCAGCUCCGCCCUCACAGCUCCUCAUCAUGGGGGAAGGGAAUCAGAAACCUCAUCCAGAAGGUCCACAACAGGGGCCACGGGAAGAAGGGAUGGGCAGAGCCACCCUCAGGGUACCUGAAGACCUUGCAACGUUUUCAAGUUCCAACCUUCCGAGUUCAACCCUUUAAGACCCAACCUCCAGAGUUCCAAGGUCUUGCGAACCUCAGAGGCGUGGCCUUGAUGAGACCUGGCAGGAAGGGUCAGUAGUGGAGAGGAGGGACUCUUCAUUCUCCUCAGUUCACAGAGAACCUAUCAGUUGAAACUGUCAUCCCAGGGAGUCGAAGGACAGGGCACAGUUGCAAGUCAGGAAGCGUAAAGUCAACCUGGCCCAACCCUGAGAUGAGAGACAGAUAAUGGGAAGAAGUCGUGGAGAGCAGGAACCAAAUGCUGACAAAGCCAGAAGGCACAGUUGCAGGAGACUUGGCCAGCGGAGUGAAGUGUACUCAUGGGGAAAGCUUGCCCCAUCCUGAGUGUCUGGGAGCAGAUCCCAUCAACAGAAUGAGUCGAUAGCUCCAGGACUAUCGCAGCACUCUGGAACCACUAAUAUGUCCUGAGACUCAUUGUCUUAGAAACUUGGAACUUCAGAGCACCAGCAGGCUACAGAUACCCAUGCCCUCAUCCUCUUGGAGGGUGUGCAACACUAGCAGGGUAUAAAAAGGGUGGAUGCAGCUCUCAGUGCCUUGGCUGCUUCCCCAACUCUGAAUUUGCUUGGGGAACACCCCUUAGCCAGAACAUUAGCUAUCGCAGGUGGUAUGAACUGGGGUGGAGGGGGAGGUCUCAGGAGGGUGGUAAAAUGUCCAACCCCACAGACGUUUUAAGUGUGGCCCUCAGGGUCCCUGGUGCACAAAGGAAGUUACUACUGUGAAGACAGCUACGGUGUGCCGUGAAAUAUUGGGCUAACUAGGCAAAGGUGUGUUACAUUUGUUUAUGCAGCAUUUGUUUAACUAUGUGAAGAUGUGUUGCAUUUGUGUUAAUUAAAUAAAAUUAACCUGGGCUCAGAGGGGCGGGGUUGGCAACUAGUCGACAGGAAGAGCCGGGAGGAGCAUCAGAGUGUGAUUUUUUUUUUGUUUUGUUUUAGUUGGGGUGGUACGGAAUGAGAGAGGUUUCCCAGCUAAGAGAGAAAGCUAUGCAGUUGCUUCUGGAACUCUCUGAGCUCACAGGUUUUCCCACCCUAGCCUUUGAAUCUCAGCUCUGUUGGAACUCCAGCAAUUUAAUUAAAGCAGCAGCAACGCAGCCCUUGUCUGGGGGAACAGAAGUCUGUUAUCCCCCCCCAGGGGCUACGGUGGCUUUGGGAGCCGCCGCUGGAGGCUACCGGGUUAAAGCGACUGAGAGGAAGGUAAAAGAGCAGGGGUAGGCACAGGACACACGUUUGGUACAGCCUCAACACGGGUGUAACUCCUAGGAAGCAGAAGAGCCCACAAGCCAACUGGUGGCCCCCUCUCUUGGGUCUACCUCUCAUUCUAAUUUUAGAGUCACAGGAAGAAGCUGUACCAACAGUUCACCUUUCCUUAAUUUUUUUUUAGAAAGCUGUGUCCCACUUUUUUCUUUUAAACUAUGUAUUUUUUAAAACACCAUUUAUCAAUCAAUCUAUCUAUCUAUCUAUUUUGCAUCCCUGCCUCAGUUUCCCUUCUCUCCUCUCCGUCUCUCUCCUCCAUGCCCCACUCUGUCCCCACCCCGCAACCCACUCCUCCUCCUCCGUUAAAAUGUACCUUUGGCAUUUUGGCACAGGAAAUCCAUAGCCAACAUUGUGUGAGUGUUGAUGUUACAUGUGAAGCAGGAAAAACUGAAAACUUUUCUUUUAAAAUCA